rnacentral:lncRNA from 1 species
CUCUCUCUCUCUCUCUCUCUCUCUCUCUCUCGUCCAUGUAUGGCUUCAGUUAGAGAGGGGCAUGUCUCUCUCUCUCUCCCUCUCUCUCUCUCUCUCUCGUCCAUGUAUGGCUUCAGUUAGAGAGGGGCAUGUCCUCUCUCUUUCUGUGUGUUGUCGUCCAUGUAUGGCGAGGGGCAUGUCUCUCUCUCUCUCUCUCUCUCUCUCUCUCUCUCUCUCGUCCAUGUAUGGCUUCAGUUAGAGAGGGGCAUGUCCUCUCUCUUUCUGUGUGUUGUCGUCCAUGUAUGGCGAGGGGCAUGUCUCUCUCUCGCUCUCUCUCUCUCUCUCUCUCUCUCUCGUCAUGUAUGGCUUCAGUUAGAGAGGGGGCAUGUCUCCUCUCUCUCUCUCUCUUCUCUCUCUCUCUCCUCUUCUCUCUCUUCUCUCCUCGUCCAGUAUGGCUUCAGUUAGAGAGGGGCAUGUCCUCUCCAAACUUCAUACAGUGGGCAGCGUUCUUGGCUUCAACACCAUCUGGACAACAACAGGUAGAAGGGCAGGAGAGAAAUAAAAGGAGAGAAAGAAGAGAUUUAAGCACAUGGGGAACAUCAUAAAGAAAAUACCUUUUCACACAGCAUUAUUCCUAGCCUCAGACUACUACUGGCCCUGUGCUAUCUUCACACAAGCAGAGUACGGUCUUCACACAAGCAGAGUAUUCUGAAACCAACGGUCAACUUUAUGGGAAAAUUCUAAUUAGGUAACAAAGUAACUGAUUGGUUAGCCCUGAAAAGUUGGUGCUAACCCUGCUCCAGAGCAUAGCCAGCUAGCCCUGUGCUAAGGUUGGUGCUAACCCUGCUCUAGAGCACAGCCAGCUAGCCCUGGGCUAAGGUUGGUG